rnacentral:rRNA from 1 species
CACCGCGGUUAUACGAGGGGCCCGAGUUGACAAUCAUCGGCGUAAAGAGUGGUUAGGAUGUUUACCAAACUAAAGCCGAACGCCGUCCAAGCUGUUAUACGCGUUUGAUGGUAAGAAGCACACCCACGAAAGUGGCUUUACAUACUCUGAAUCCACGAAAACUAUGAUA